AAUAUUGGACAAUGGGGGCAACGCUGAUCCAGCCAUGCCGCGUGUGUGCAGAAGGUCUUCGGAUUGUAAAGCACUUUAAGUUGGGAGGAAUGUCUUUAGGCUAAUAUCCUGAAGUUUUGACGUUACCAACAGAUUAGGCACCGGCUAACUCUGUGACAGCAGCCGCGGUAAUACGGAGGGUGCAAGAGUUAAUCAGAAUUACUGGGCGUAAAGCGCGCGUAGGUGGUUAAGUAAGAUUGGUGUGAAAUCCCCGGGCUUAACCUGGGAACUGCUUUCAUAACUGCUGAGCUAGAGUACGGUAGAGGGUAGUGGAAUUUCCUGUGUAGCGGUGAAAUGCGUAGAUAUAGGAAGGAACACCAGUGGCGAAGGCGACUACCUGGACUGAUACUGACACUGAGGUGCGAAAGCGUGGGGAGCAAAC
rnacentral:rRNA from 1 species